UAUUCGGUCUCAAUUUUUUAGACCAAACUGAAUGGACCGACACUUACCCCUAACAUUGAGGGGAAAAAAUCUAUAAAAAGGCAAAACAUUUAAAAUAAUUGGUAGUUAGAUUGGACAUUUUUGUUUAACGUGCUUGCGAAGAGGUGAAACUAAACGAAGGAAGUCUCAAUGGAAUAAGAAAACUAGAGCACUAUCACAUUACCAGAAAAACAAUGCCACCGGUUGGAUCACUUUCUUGGCAGAAGGUGAUCCAUUCCCUCUACUCCAAACAUCUUGCUUUCCCAAUAGGUAAUUGGUCUCUUAUUAUCCGAUAGGAGGAUGUAAAGAAGAAAAAUC
rnacentral:misc_RNA from 1 species